GACGAACGCUGGCGGCGUGCUUAACACAUGCAAGUCGAACGGAAAGGCCCUGCUUUUGUUGGGUGCUCGAGUGGCGAACGGGUGAGUAACACGGGAGUAACCUGCCCUUGACUUUGGGAUAACUCCAGGGAACUGGGGCUAAUACCGGCUAGGAGCUCCUGCUGCAUGGUGGUGGUUGGAAAGUUUCGGCUGUUGGGGAUGGACUCGCGGCUUAUCAGCUUGUUGGUGGGGUAGUGGCUUACCAGGGCUUUGACGGAUAGCCGGCCUGGGAGGGUGAACGGCGACAAUGGGACUGCGAGACGCCCCAGACGGCUACGGUAGGCAGCAGUCGGGAACCUUGCACAAUGGGCGGAAGUCUGAUGCAGCAACGCCGCGUGCGUGAUGACGGCCUUCGGGUUGUAAACCGCUUUCGCCUGAGACGAAGCGUGAGUGACGGUAAUGGGUAAAGAAGCACCGGCUAACUACGUG
rnacentral:rRNA from 1 species